UUAAAAAAUAAAACUUUAAAAAUGAAAUUGGAAUGAUAUAGAGAAGAUUAGCAUGAUCCUUGCACAAGGAUGACAUGCAAAUUCCUUACAUAUUCUGCAUUUUU